rnacentral:rRNA from 1 species
CGCGGCGUAUUAGCUAGUUGGUGAGGUAAUGGCUCACCAAGGCGAUGAUACGUAGCCGACCUGAGAGGGUGAUCGGCCACACUGGGACUGAGACACGGCCCAGACUCCUACGGGAGGCAGCAGUAGGGAAUCUUCCGCAAUGGACGAAAGUCUGACGGAGCAAUGCCGCGUGAGUGAAGAAGGUUUUCGGAUCGUAAAGCUCUGUU